CCUCCACUGACAUUACAUUAGCUCCUCUGUAGCUGACACAAUGUUAAGAGAAGUUCAUUGCUACCGUUAUUGUGCUAGUUGACAUGUAGGAAAUACUUCAAGUCUGUUCUUAAUGUACAGGCUCUUCAGUCUUUGACUACCUUGCGAAUUUCUGAUCAAUACAUAAAAGAUGGGCUAUGUUUUGAGAGGGACAUUGUUUUACUUAUUUGAUGUCAUAAUAAGAACCUGGCAUUAAAAUAAUGUAGAUACUUGCAAAAUUCAAUCUGUCAGCCUGGGGCAGGGAAGAGGAUUACAGACUUUAGAGAGAGAAAUGGGAGAAAAUGCAGGUUACGUGCCACUGAAAUUGCUUUUUUAAAAGGCUACAUUUACAUUUGGAAAUGAAUCCUUUCCAGACCACCACACACUUCAGUUGUGCAAGCAGAGACUGCUAUCCUGAGCAGGCAGUGCAUCUCCUAUUUCUAGCCACAGGUGCUGGGAUUGUGCAAGUCCUUCAGUCAUUGUUUGCGCUCAUGUUUACUGAGAGCUUCUGGUUUCAUGAAAGAAACUAAGAGAGAAGAGGAAGAGGUAUCGCACUUCGUGGCAUCCUUAAAACGGCUUUCUGGGUACUAUAAAUUGGAUGCUGUGUUACAUUGGCCUUUGGUCGGCCUAGAAGAUCAAUGGAAGAAGACUGGAUACAACAAUUAGUUCUAUGCUCCAGCAUGACAUGCAAAUUGGUUAUUCUCAGGAAGUUAAUAAUACCACUGAAAUAAUGCAGAGCUCUCCAGGAAAGUAACAUGUAGACAAGCAUUGGUUAAUGCCACUCACAGUGCAUACAAAGGACAGAGAGGGCCCAGUUCCCGCUUUUGUCCUCCUUGUUAGCAUAAAGCAGAAUUUUGUGUUUGCUCCCUCUGUUGCCGGUGCUCUGCUCUGCUCUCCUCCCUCCCCAUUUUUUCUUUAUGCCUCGACAGAGCCGGCAGCUCUUUAUAGCUCAUCCUCAUUUAGAACCCUGCUCUCCCCUAGCGUGAGGAGAGUGUCAGAGAACAUCCCAAGACUCUUA